UUGUUUGCGGGUGCUGCAUCACCAAGAUUCACAUGCAAAUGCAUGGCCGAUGAUAUAUGUUAGAAAUUUUUUUUAUAUAAAAAAGAUAUCUUUCUUUCUUUCUGAUCAUCUGCCAAAGUUCUUUGGAAGUGAGAAUCUUGAUGAUGCUGCAUCGGCAAUAAA
rfam:Populus trichocarpa scaffold_4_contig_490, whole genome shotgun sequence.